rnacentral:lncRNA from 1 species
AAUAAAUUCAUGGGAUAUUUAUAAAUCAAAACCCUCUUUUAUUGGUAAUCAAAUUCAUCAAGAAGAACCACGACAAACACUCCUUUCAUGGAGAUAAAAUCCAAAUAAUACGCCACUAACGGCCCAACCCUCUUGGCAAACCCUCCUUUCGUGGAGAUCAAAUCCAAAUCAUACGCCAUUAACGGCCCAACACUCCUUUCAUGGAUAUCAAAUCCAAUAUUCCUACGUUCGAGAAAUAUACCACUAACAAUCCUUGAAUUACGGAGAAAAUGAUCAAAUCCAAAUAUUCCUACGCUCGAGAAAUACGCCACUAACGACUCUCUAAUUACGGAAAAAUUUAUAUCAAAUCCAAAUAUGUCUAUGUUUGAGAAAUAAGCUACUGACGGUUCUCGAAUUACGAAGAAAAUCAAGAGAAAAGAAGGAACGAAUUUGUACCCAUAUUGUUUAUUAAUAAAAAAAUCAUGUUUCUUUAUAUUUUAUUUGUGAUUACAAUUUAUUUUUAUCGCUGUAAAAAUUUAUUAGAAACACUAUAUUUUCUCAUAUAUUUUCAAAAUAUUUUGAAUUAUUGUUAUGUUGACUAGUACUUCCUCCGUUUUGGAAUAAGUGAAUUGUUGGG